AUGGCCCCACGUGCGGCGUGCUCAGAGCUGGCUGCUGCCAGCCCCGUGGGCUGUCCCCAAACCCCGGUGGCAUCUGUCCCCUGGGGUGAGCAGCGGUGCCACCGAGGAUCGCAGGGUGUCACCGAGGAUAGCACAGUGGCACCAAGGAUGUCACACAGCCUCUCUGUCCCAUCGUGGUCCUCUUGUCCCACCAGAGUCCUCUUGUUCCACCAUGGUCCCUUGUCCCACUGCAGUCCCCUGUCCCAUCAUUGUCCCAUCAUCCCAUUACUGUCCCUCUAUCCCAUCAUGGUCUCCUUGUCCCACCAUUGUCCCUCUGUCCCACCAGAGCCCCCUGUCCCAUCAUUCUCCCUCCAUCCCACCACAUUCCCUUGUCCUACCAGGUCCCUCCAUCCCACUGUGGUCCCCUUGUCCCACCACAGUCCCCUUGUCCCAUCAUUGUCCCAUCCUUGUCCCUUGUCCUGUUGUGGUCCCAUUAUUGCCCCAUCAUCAUCCCUUGUCCCAUCACGGUCCCAUCAUCAUCAUCAUCCCUUGUCCCAUCCUUGUCCCUUGUCCUGUCGUGGUCCCAUAGUUGUCCCUUGUCCCAUCACGGUCCCAUCGUUGUCCCUUGUCCCAUUGUUGUCUCAUCAUUGUCCCAUCAUGGUCCCUUGUCCCGUGGUUGUCCCUUGUCCCAUCAUGGUCCCAUUGUUGUCCCUUGUCCCAUCGUGGUCAUGUAGUGGUCCCAUCACUGUCUCCUGUCCCAUCGUGGUCCCAUGGUUGUCCCUUGUACCAUCAUGGUCCCAUCAUCAUCCCUUGUCCCAUCAUUGUCCCAUCGUGGUCCCUUGUCCCGUGGUUGUCCCUUGUCCCAUCAUGGUCCCAUUGUUGUCCCUUGUCCCAUCGUGGUCCCGUAGUGGUCCCAUCACUGUCCCCUGUCCCAUUGUUGUCCCAUCAUUGUCCCGUCCCAUGGUUGUCCCAUCCUUGUCCCAUCGUGGUCCCAUCAUUGUCCCAUUGUUGUGCCAUCCUUGUCCCACGGCUGUCCCUUGUCCCCUGGCGGUCCCGGCUGGCAGAGCCCGCGCUGAGCCCUUAAUAAGCCGUGAUUCACACCCUGUGCUUAAUUAG
rnacentral:lncRNA from 1 species